rnacentral:rRNA from 1 species
AACGAACGCUGGCGGCAUGCCUAACACAUGCAAGUCGAACGAGACCUUCGGGUCUAGUGGCGCACGGGUGCGUAACGCGUGGGAAUCUGCCCUUCGGUUGGGAAUAACUGAGAGAAAUUUCAGCUAAUACCUUAUAAUGUCUUCGGACCAAAGAUUUAUCGCCGAGGGAUGAGCCCGCGUAGGAUUAGGUAGUUGGUGGGGUAAUGGCCUACCAAGCCGACGAUCCUUAGCUGGUCUGAGAGGAUGAUCAGCCACACUGGGACUGAGACACGGCCCAGACUCAUACGGGAGGCAGCAGUGGGGAAUAUUGGACAAUGGGCGAAAGCCUGAUCCAGCAAUGCCGCGUGAGUGAUGAAGGCCUUAGGGUUGUAAAGCUCUUUUACCCGGGAUGAUAAUGACAGUACCGGGAGAAUAAGCUCCGGCUAACUCCGUG